CCACCUGGACUGGUGAGACAGUGAGGUGGGAAAGCGUGGGGAGCAAACAGGAUUAGAUACCUGGUAGUCCACGCCGUAAACGAUGUCAACUAGCCGUUGGAAUCCUUGAGAUUUUAGUGGCGCAGCUAACGCAUUAAGUUGACCGCCUGGGGAGUACGGCCGCAAGGUUAAAACUCAAAUGAAUUGACGGGGGCCCGCACAAGCGGUGGAGCAUGUGGUUUAAUUCGAAGCAACGCGAAGAACCUUACCAGGCCUUGACAUGCAGAGAACUUUCCAGAGAUGGAUUGGUGCCUUCGGGAACUCUGACACAGGUGCUGCAUGGCUGUCGUCAGCUCGUGUCGUGAGANGUUGGGUUAAGUCCCGUAACGAGCGCAACCCUUGUCCUUAGUUACCAGCACGUUAUGGUGAGCACUCUAAGGAGACUGCCGGUGACAAACCGGAGGAAGGUGGGGAUGACGUCAAGUCAUCAUGGCCCUUACGGCCUGGGCUACACACGUGCUGCAAUGGUCGGUACAGAGGGUUGCCAAGCCGCGAGGUGGAGCUAAUCUCACAAAACCGAUCGUAGUCCGGAUCGCAGUCUGCAACUCGACUGCGUGAAGUCGGAAUCGCUAGUAAUCGCGAAUCAGAAUGUCGCGGUGAAUACGUUCCCGGGCCUUGUACACACCGCCCGUCACACCAUGGGAGUGGGUUGCACCAGAAGUAGCUAGUCUAACCUUCGGGAGGACGGUUACCACGGUGUGAUUCAUGACUGGGGUGAAGUCGUAACAAGGUA
rnacentral:rRNA from 1 species